rnacentral:lncRNA from 1 species
UACCGACUUUGGAAAAUGUGAAAUAAGAUGUAUCUGAUGCCACUGAUGCUCACUGGCAGCGUGUGGACACAGGCCGUAGAAGCAGACUGCCUGCCUUAGGCGCUUGAAGUGCACCUGAGCAUGCAGCUUGAUGGAUUAAGUGAUCAUCUGCAGUGGCUUUGCUCUUUGCCUGCUGAGCGCAGUUCCUCACAUCCUUCCAGAAAGCAGCGGAGCCCCAGAGCUGGCAUGUUCCCAGAGGUCAAGGGUCAGUGGAGUCGUGGCUGGGGGGUUCCUAACAGCGGGUGACCGCAGGCCAGCGCUAGGUGUGUUUUGACCUGGGAGCUGCCAGCAGCUUGGUUAUGCCUUUUUCUAUUAUUUAUAUUCUCGGUCUUGAUUCAUAGCUUUUAAGUACUCCAAUUCGUUCUGGAUCUGUUUCAUUUAUACAGUUCGUAUUUUAUACUUGUGCUUCAGAGCAUGUUUGAAUUUCUCUUGCUUUGUAAUGCUUUCCUACAUCUCUCUUUAUUCUGUUUUUCAAAGCCUUCUUGGCUUCUCCCAUAUUAUUUAUUAGAAACAACCUUUAGAAUGGAUUUAACCAGGGUCCUCUCCAGAAACCUUUUGGGAUUCUGACUGAGUUUAAAUUCAGUCUCAAGUAACUGCCCGCCUAGCCCUGCUGGCUGGAACACUCCCCUAUUCAGAGGCGGGGCUCAGGCAGGGCCUCUGUUAGUUUUUUUCCUGUGGGUGGGCUCUGCUCGUUUCUUUGCAUGUUCUGUAAUUUUGUGCUGAAAGCUGGAUGUUUUAAAUAUGAUAAUGUGGCAACUCUGGAAAUCAGACAGUCCCCCACCCUGGGGCUGUUCGCUGUGGCUUCUUGUUUGCUGCUUUACUGACUUUUCUUAACUAUUUUUGUCAGUACUCCUCGUCACGUGUGGCCGCCUAAUU